ACGAACGCUGGCGGCGUGCCUAAUACAUGCAAGUAGAACGCUGAAGAGAGGAGCUUGCUCUUCUUGGAUGAGUUGCGAACGGGUGAGUAACGCGUAGGUAACCUGCCUUGUAGCGGGGGAUAACUAUUGGAAACGAUAGCUAAUACCGCAUAACAAUGGAUGACACAUGUCAUUUAUUUGAAAGGGGCAAUUGCUCCACUACAAGAUGGACCUGCGUUGUAUUAGCUAGUAGGUGAGGUAACGGCUCACCUAGGCGACGAUACAUAGCCGACCUGAGAGGGUGAUCGGCCACACUGGGACUGAGACACGGCCCAGACUCCUACGGGAGGCAGCAGUAGGGAAUCUUCGGCAAUGGGGGCAACCCUGACCGAGCAACGCCGCGUGAGUGAAGAAGGUUUUCGGAUCGUAAAGCUCUGUUGUAAGUCAAGAACGAGUGUGAGAGUGGAAAGUUCACACUGUGACGGUAGCUUACCAGAAAGGGACGGCUAACUACGUGCCAGCAGCCGCGGUAAUACGUAGGUCCCGAGCGUUGUCCGGAUUUAUUGGGCGUAAAGCGAGCGCAGGCGGUUUGAUAAGUCUGAAGUUAAAGGCUGUGGCUCAACCAUAGUUCGCUUUGGAAACUGUCAAACUUGAGUGCAGAACGGGAGAGUGGAAUUCCAUGUGUAGCGGUGAAAUGCGUAGAUAUAUGGAGGAACACCGGUGGCGAAAGCGGCUCUCUGGUCUGUAACUGACGCUGAGGCUCGAAAGCGUGGGGAGCGAACAGGAUUAGAUACCCUGGUAGUCCACGCCGUAAACGAUGAGUGCUAGGUGUUGGAUCCUUUCCGGGAUUCAGUGCCGCAGCUAACGCAUUAAGCACUCCGCCUGGGGAGUACGACCGCAAGGUUGAAACUCAAAGGAAUUGACGGGGGCCCGCACAAGCGGUGGAGCAUGUGGUUUAAUUCGAAGCAACGCGAAGAACCUUACCAGGUCUUGACAUCCCGAUGCUAUUUCUAGAGAUAGAAAGUUACUUCGGUACAUCGGUGACAGGUGGUGCAUGGUUGUCGUCAGCUCGUGUCGUGAGAUGUUGGGUUAAGUCCCGCAACGAGCGCAACCCCUAUUGUUAGUUGCCAUCAUUCAGUUGGGCACUCUAGCGAGACUGCCGGUAAUAAACCGGAGGAAGGUGGGGAUGACGUCAAAUCAUCAUGCCCCUUAUGACCUGGGCUACACACGUGCUACAAUGGUUGGUACAACGAGUUGCGAGUCGGUGACGGCAAGCUAAUCUCUUAAAGCCAAUCUCAGUUCGGAUUGUAGGCUGCAACUCGCCUACAUGAAGUCGGAAUCGCUAGUAAUCGCGGAUCAGCACGCCGCGGUGAAUACGUUCCCGGGCCUUGUACACACCGCCCGUCACACCACGAGAGUUUGUAACACCCGAAGUCGGUGAGGUAACCUUUUGGAGCCAGCCGCCUAAGGUGGGAUAGAUGAUUGGGGUG
rnacentral:rRNA from 1 species